rnacentral:misc_RNA from 1 species
AAAGUCGUAACAAGGUUUCCGUAGGUGAACCUGCGGAAGGAUCAUUAUCACGUAUCCACGUUUAUCAACCAUUGUGAACUGUCUUUUUUGACCUUUAAGAAAUUAAAAUUUCGUUUGUUAAAAUAUACUUCCCUUUAAUGUGGAGAAUAACGUUUUUACUGUUGAUUUGAGUUAUUCCGUAUAUUUUAGCCAAAAUUAAAUUUUAUUUUUAAUCUCUUAAAGCGUAUUUUUCAAAUCACUUUAUUCAUUAACAAUUUAAACCUAAAUAAACUUUUUUAUUUUGAACUGAAUUAAUUUCAUUUCUCGAAAGGGACUGAAAUAAAAUUUUACGAAACAUAAGAACAACUCUUAGCAACGGAUAUCUUGGUUCUC